GAUGUUCGACACGGGAGUCCCGGGUGCGGGGCUGAGAGUGGGCCACACCGACGGACCGGACCGGCCCUUACCGUCACACCUGAUCCGGAUCAUGCCGGCGAAGGGAGCAGAAUGUCCGAUGUC
rnacentral:ncRNA from 2 species